rnacentral:rRNA from 1 species
UACGUAGGGAGCAAGCGUUGUCCGGAAUUAUUGGGCGUAAAGGGCUCGUAGGCGGUUUGUCGCGUCGGGAGUGAAAUCCACUGGCUUAACCCCGUGCCUGCUUCCGAUACGGGCAGACUAGAGGUAUGCAGGGGAGAACGGAAUUCCUGGUGUAGCGGUGAAAUGCGCAGAUAUCAGGAGGAACACCGGUGGCGAAGGCGGUUCUCUGGGCAUUACCUGACGCUGAGGAGCGAAAGUGUGGGGAGCGAACAGG